GGGCCCUUAGCUCAGUUGGUUAGAGCAUCCGACUCAUAAUCGGCAGGUCCACGGUUCAAGUCCGUGAGGGCCCACCA
rnacentral:tRNA from 3 species